CCCUUAGAUGUUCUGGGCUGCACGCGUGCUACACUGAUUAUUUCAACAAGUGUUUUAACUGGAGAGUUCGCGUAAUCCUGAAAUGUUAUCGUGAUGGGAGUAGAGUAUUGUAUUUGUUAAUCUUUAACGAGGAAUUCCCAGCAAGUGUAGGUUUAUAAGUUGUUCUGAUUACGUCCCUGCCCUUUGUACACACCGCCCGUCGCUCCUACCGAUUGAUUGAUCCGGUGAAUUACAUAGAAUUUUGCGUUUUACAUGACGGAAGACGAAGUGUUUUAAACCUUAUCAUUUAGAGGAAGGAGAAGUCGUAACA
rnacentral:rRNA from 1 species